UCGCCGGACGCCGGCCCUUCGCUGACUCGCUGCCGGCGCUCGUGCUGCGUCCGCGCGAGCUCCAGCUGCUGGCGCUAGGCUCUGGCGGCCGACGCGCUGGGCUCCGGCGGCCAGCGGGAGGCGGCGACCGACGCGUAGAGCUCCGGCGGCCAGCGGGAGGCGGCGGCGCGCAGCAGCUAGAGGAAGAGGAAGAGGGGACCAAAGAAAUCAAGCAACAAGAACUCACUAACUCUGCUGAAAUAGAAUAGAUCGAGAAUGGGGAGAGGAAGACGAAGUGGGGAGCAAAGAAAUCGAGCAGCAACCGGCUACGAACUGAAGAAGAAGAGGAGAUCGAGAAUGGGGAAGGGGAUUAACUCACCGGAGGAGCUGGAUCCACGUCGCAGGGGCGCGGAAAGUCCACUGGCGAGCAGGGACGUUGCUCGUCGCCGGCGAGCAGGGGCGGGUGCUCGUCGCCGGCGAGCGGAGGCUCGUCGCCGGUGGCCGGCAGGCGGCGAGCGGAUGUCGCGGCGUCACCGCGCGGGAUGCGGCGCGGUGCGGGCGUGCGGGAAUGCGGGGGAGAGCCAGCAUCGUGGCUAGGGCGACGGGGAUAUGCAACUUCUUGUUGGGCUGGGCCCUAUCCACGAACGCUGAUACGCCGUGUCCACCAAACCGAUACGUAUCAGCCCACGUAUCCGAAUUUCGUGAAAAUAAUAAAAAUCGGAUACUCCUCGGAUACGUAUCCGAGGCGUAUCGGACACGUAUCCGUAUCCGAUACGUAUCCGAUACGCGAUACGCGUCUUCCAGCAAGUAUCCGUGUAACGUAGGUUGUAUGUGAAGCAAACUGAUUAUAUUCCUACGUGGCUUACUAAUGUUUGUCUUUCUAUAGGACAAAUGUGUGAAAGACGAACUUAACUCGGAAGAAAUCAAAGUUCAGUUCUUGCAAAGGGAAGCCUCUUGGUGCUACAUUGCGCACUGCCAUGUCAUGUCAAAUUGCAGGACUGGUCUCCAAAUAAGCUUUUGCCAAGGCUACGGGAUCCUGUGCCCAGCAAAGGAUAACUUUGAGAAGAACCAAGCACCGAGUGGAUAGAGGGGAAAGAAGGGGCAAAGAAAUAUAGCUUUUAGUUGUUGGAGAAAUAUUUUAGAAGUAUUUGUAAGAUAUUGCCAAUUUGUACAUGAUUCUUUGUGAACACAUUUGCCUUGAACUUGAAUCAAUGGAUUUAUUGGUCAUUUAUUAUUUUCUGGACACAAGAAUUAAUUUUAUGAACACAGUAUAUAAUAUAUGGUUAUGCAAUGAA